rnacentral:rRNA from 1 species
UACGAAGGGGGCUAGCGUUGUUCGGAAUCAUUGGGCGUAAAGCGCGUGUAGGCGGCUCGGUAAGUCCGCUGUGAAAGUCGGGGGCUCAACCCUCGAAUGCCGGUGGAUACUGUCGGGCUAGAGUGCGGAAGAGGCGAGUGGAAUUCCUGGUGUAGCGGUGAAAUGCGCAGAUAUCAGGAGGAACACCAAUUGCGAAGGCAGCUCGCUGGGACGUAACUGACGCUGAGACGCGAAAGCGUGGGGAGCAAACAGG